AAGCGGGAGCGGGCCGAGCUCCUAUAAGACAACCUGUGAUUGGCUCCGCGGUGCCCCGCCCUCACCGGGCUCUGAGUGCUCUUGCCCGUCCGGCCCCAGCCGCGGCCCGGGAAUCUACGUCACCCGAAAAGCGACUAUAAACGCCGGCGCCUCCGUCCCCAGCCGCGGCUCGGGAAUCCACCCGAAGAGUGGCUAUAAACGUCCGCGCCUCCAUUGCGCUCUCCUCUUCACUUAGGACACUGGUCCUCCCACGCCUGACACCGACGUCGCCAGGACCGCGGGGUUGGGGGAACUUGGCUGUCCCACGUCUUUCAAAUAAAGCUGUUUUGUCUAACUCAC
ensembl:lncRNA SNHG9 small nucleolar RNA host gene 9